rnacentral:rRNA from 1 species
GACGAACGCUGGCGGCGUGCUUAACACAUGCAAGUCGAACGAAGAGCGAUGGAAGCUUGCUUCUAUCAAUCUUAGUGGCGAACGGGUGAGUAACGCGUAAUCAACCUGCCCUUCAGAGGGGGACAACAGUUGGAAACGACUUCUAAUACCGCAUACGAUCUAACCUCGGCAUCGAGGAUAGAUGAAAGGUGGCCUCUACAUGUAAGCUAUCACUGAAGGAGGGGAUUGCGUCUGAUUAGCUAGUUGGAGGGGUAACGGCCCACCAAGGCGAUGAUCAGUAGCCGGUCUGGGAGGAUGAACGGCCACAUUGGGACUGAGACACGGCCCAGACUCCUACGGGAGGCAGCAGUGGGGAAUCUUCCGCAAUGGACGAAAGUCUGACGGAGCAACGCCGCGUGAGUGAUGACGGCCUUCGGGUUGUAAAGACCUGUUAAUCGGGACGAAAGGCCUUCUUGCGAAUAGUGAGAAGGAUUGACGGUACCGGAAUAGAAAGCCACGGCUAACUACGUG